rnacentral:lncRNA from 1 species
CGUACGCACGCACUUGCCACAAGGAGACGCUGUUCAGUUUACCGGAUCCUGUCCCGCGCCAGCCAACCAGGACAAGGCCGGGGAGCUCGAGACAGGCAGCCUAGACCAAGAACCGGAAGGAGGAAAAGGAACCGGAGGGAGGAAGAGGAGGGGCGGGACGAGACCACCAGGCAAGAGUCCAAACUUUCCCGCGGCGACCUAACUGCACCUCCAGUGUCUUCCCCCAGAGGGCACAGAAGCAGCAAGAAGGGCGGGAACACUUGACUGGGGUCCAUGCAGCUCUAGGCUGAGUCUUGCAGGGCUGAGCCCCCCAGGCCUGCUCUCCUGUGUCCUGGCCGCUCCGUCAGUGCCUGCCAGUGGGGUCCAGAGGGACCGUUUUUUUAACGCCUCUUUUGCAGUCUCCCGCAUUGACUUCAUAACCAAGUUCUGGGUCCCUGCCUCUGGAGUGCCUGAUGAGACAAAACGGCUCCUCGUCCUGCAUCCCCGCUGCUACUUCCAGAAUUCAGGCCUCGUGGUCUGGAGCCUGCACUGUUCCAUGAGCCUCCUGAGCAACCUGGAGUCCUCUGUCUUUCUUCCCUCAGUGAGAUGCGCCUACUUCUCCCUGGAGAAGCUUGAGGAAGCAGAAAUGCUGGAGAUGAGGUGAGGAGGAGAGGGUCCCUCUUUAUGGGAUGUAGGCCGUAGGGCUGCAGGGGACCUUCAGAUCACCAGUUCCAAGUCCUAUGUAUGCUAGCAUCCCCUCCUGGGUUCCUUCCCCACAAGAAUGGUUGCCAGCUUCUGCCGAACACCCCAGAAUCUGCUUAGAGUGGUUUCAGAUCAUGAAUGAGGAUCCCCGGGAUGGUGGGUGGCCGUUGCUCCUCCCGUGGCCUCUUGUUUGAAGAACUAGAACUCGCAUAAUGAGCUGGAUAGCCACCGUGUGGCUGCUAGCAGGGAAGCCCUUGGUGGCCACAUAAGGGCUCCCUUUUCCAACUCUCUCAGCUGCUCCUCACUCUCACUCCUGGGUGUGCUGGGCAGUGGGGUGCAAUGUGCACGUAGGUGCACACUCUCCCUGGGCGGCAGCGAGCAGCAGAGGUCUGAUCUGUGGUCGGAUGACGAGAGGAAGUGCAAGUAAAGCAGCUGCAGCGAGACCUCGUCCGCACAGGGGCUUGUUCUUCUGUGUCUUUGCAGGGCUGUUUUGGACUCAGUAUUCACCUAAGCACUCCAAAUUGGUCGUGCGGAUGUGCGAUGUAGGAGGAGGAGAGAGGUAAAGUGGAGGAAUAGGAGCUGGAGGGGAGGAGGAGAGAAGAAAAGAGGAGAAGGAGGGGGAAGAGAGGGAGCGGGUUCAAGGAGGGAAGGAGGAGGAGAAGGAGAGGAGGAGGAGAUGAGACCAAGGAGAAGAGGUGAAGGAGGAGAGGAGGACACAGAAAAGAGAAGAAAGAGGAGAGGAGACGGAGAAGAGGAGGAGGAGUAACAAAGGAGGAAGAAGAGGAAGAGGACUAGAAGAGCAAGUUCCAGUUCUCGGUGCGCCCCGUUCUGCAAGACACUCUCCUGUGGUCAGCCCUGGUCUGCAGAGGAUUCCCGCGCUGGAUCUCUGAAGGAUGCUGGCGCCCUCUCUGCAGCACAUUCCUGAUGCCCUUGCUGACACGUGUCCUCUGGGCCCUCUCCUGAAACCUGAUUCUCCGGGGUGUCUUCUGGCCUCACCUCUUCUGUCCAGUUCCAGCAAGCUCACUUUGCUUAGCCUUUGAAUCCCUUCCUUCACUGUCUGCCAUGACAGUUCAGGCCUUUCACCGUCACUCAGGCCUGGACCAUCACUGUUGCCCAUCCCAUGCCAUCAACAGGUUUGCCCCAUCCCUUCGGCUCCCUACCAGGGCAUUCAGUUGUGUUGAGCAGCAGAGUGUCUCCAAGUCCCCACUGGUUGAGCUGCAUCCGGGUCCCAUCCCACAGGGACCCCCUGGCCGCUGCAGAUGCAUGCUGAUCCUGCAGCUCCUCGAGGGUGUCAUCGCUUUCCCCCUUCCCAGACCCAGCACACCCUGCCUGCAUGGCGCUGCGCUGCACCUUCACUCUGGUCACGGGUCUGGCAGUCAGCUCACCAAUUCCUCCUGCUUCCCUGGGACUUGCCGGCUUUUAGCACUGCAAUUCACUCAGCAAACUGGGACUGUUGGUCACCCUACCUGGCAGCCAGUGAUAAGGUGAGGGCCACUCCUGGGAGGGAGGACACCUGUGGGGAAAAUUCUUGUGUUAUUUAUUUCUCCUUCGGGAUAGGGUGCCUGCAGCGCUUCAUGGGAGGGGGUGGGCUGAUGCUGCGGGCUCAGAAGUUUCAAGGGCAUCUGGGGAGACCAGAUAUUCAGAGACCUUCUAGAUGUGCCUGUUCCAUGUAUCAGGGACGCAGGUUUUCCCAACAGGGCUGGUGUCAUUGGCAUGACAGACCUGCCUUGGCUGAGCGUUCACCUGUCUUUGGAGUUCAGCCACCUUAGCAAGUCCUGGGUUUGUUCUUCAGACUUUGCUGCUCGCCCAUUGCCUGGAUCGGGGGCUACUUUGUAAACCACCAGGAAGACUCCAGUGUUUCUGGUUAAUUUUUAGAUGUUUGUUAAUUGCUCUUGGUCUCUCAUUAAUCCCCUGUGGGUCAUCCAGGAAACAUACUCACCACUGUCUGUUCUCUGAGUUUUCAUUUCCAGGCAUCCGCCCUGCCUGGAUCUCCUCACCUGCCAGGAACUUCCUCUCCACAAGCCGGCCAUCCCAGCAAAAGUUCUAACACCAAAGGUCUGGCAACUAGCCUGCCAUCUUGUGCCUGGAGCCGCCUGCGUGCCACCUACUCCCGAAGAUGGGAACCUUGUUGCCAGUUGGGCAGAUGCGGGGCAAUCCUGUACCAAGACCCCAUUUUACCACCUGCUUUCUCAGACCACUCUGGAACCCACUGUCUCAGAUUGUGUCCUCCAGGAAGCAGACCAUGAGAGGGAGUUGGCAGGGCCAAAGAUUUACUGGGGCUAACUAACACUCAGGAAAGGGAUAGGAAGGAAACAGGGCUGGAGAGCAGGUUGAGCCCGACCUGACAGUCUCGAGCAGCCCAACAGGGAGGUGUGGAGCAAGGGUUGCCCACUAGAGGGGCCUGCAUUGGGUACGGGUGAUGGGGUCCACAUGGUACCUGGCAUAUAGCAGGCUGUGCAAUCCAUAUUAACUGACUGGAUAAAUUAAUGCCCAGAAAAGGUGCCCUGGAGAAUGGGUGUGUGCUGAACACAAUAGGGAAGGGCCCAGCAUCUGCCUUGGCAUAGGCAGAACUGUGCUGUGCCCUGCAACAGGCCACCUGAGAGCUGCUUUGAUCUUGUGUGUACAUUAGAUGACUGCCAGGGGCAUGAAGGGGAUGUGCUUCCAGGGCAUUUGCUGGCAGGGCGUCUCGUGAUCUCUUGGUAUUGGUGUGAGCACAGCCUGGCAGGAGAGGGCAGAUCUCCAUGCAAAGUAUGUCAGAAAGCAGAUGGAAGCCAGGCCCCCUCCUGAAAGAGGCUCCUUGAAGGCUCCUGGGACCACAUUAUCAUUCUCUUCACUCGAGAGAUGAGGACACUGAAAUUCAGAGAGGGGAAGUGAUUUGCCUCAGCUUGUACUAAAGAAACAUUUCAACAGAGAACCCAGUGGAAAUUAUGACAUGUUAUCUUCUCAGAGUCCUGAACUCCCAUCCCUACCUCAGAAGAGACUCCUCUGUUCACAGAAGCUAAAGGCAGUUCCUUCCCAAUGGCAACUAUGUUUGGAUGUUGGAUCUACACUUUCUCAAGCACUGUGAUCUUCAAAUCAAAGGAGAUUUCUCCCAUUAUAUACUUCUUAUGAUCAACAAAUUCCAUCAUCUCCCCACUAAGAGAAAGUACUCCAAGAUGAUAGAAUGAUUUUAAAGUUAUGGGACUACAACAGCAGCCACAGGAACCUUGAACUGCCAUCCAGGGCCAUGCAGCAAACAAGCAACAGGGAAAUAUCCCACUAUGCAAUCCUAUUUUGAGAUGAUAUUUAGGAUGAGAGAACAUGCAUUAGUUACCUACCAGCUUGACAGGAAUGGAUUUCCAAAUCUGACACACCAUAGCCUGAAUUCUCACCAGUUUGCUCCUGGAAAGGCCCGCUCAUGCAGCAUGAGCCCCUGCCACUCUUCUAAAUAAGCUUCCAGGCAUUACCUGCAUGCUGUGUUCCUGUGGUGGGAUGGCAGUAAUCUCUGCUAAGAUAAACGGGAGCUUCUGUGGAUAAAGCAUAAACGCAGUGAAGUGUGUGUGGCUGGAAGAUUUAAUGCCUCUACAGUGCUUAGAUACAAGUUGAGCUUGGAAUUCCAGAGGUAGAGCACUGCUGAUUGGAGACAUAUUAAGUAAAAUGUACUGUGGAAAUGAGAUAAAACCUUUAUUCUUGCUAAUGAUUGUCAUUGUAUGUAUUCAGGUGUCCAACAAAGGAUUUUAGAAUAAAGUGUGCCUUUAAAGUUUCCCACCUUCUUAAAGCUCCCAAUGAAUUGCAAAGGGCCUGUUUGGAAUGGACUGUAUUAAAUCUACUUCAAAUGAAAACCUUUACACUGAGUGAAAUAUGGUUCAACAAUUCUUAACACAAGGCCUUUACACUUGUGUAGCCCAUUUUGGUUUGGCCUAUCUUGUCACUAGAAUGCUGUCUGAGCUUGGAUUAUUUAUGCCCUAAGAUUUACUUAAAAUUGAAGGGAGUAUUUCCAUUCAUCAACACUAGUUUUGAUAGAUGCUUAAAAGGUGCAGUGAGGUUGAUGAUCCUGAAUACACAAAUUAUUGAUCACCACAUCAAGUUGGAUUUCCCUAAAGAUGUAUGGCUUUCUGACCUUGUGAUUUACACUAAUGAUUAUGUCUUAAUAAAAGUAAUAAAGCUAAAUACUUUAUACGUGAUCUAAGGAGUGAGAUUAGAAAGGAAGCAAGAGGAGAGACAUACUGUGUUGAACUGACCUUGCUAAGGCAGAAGAAAUGGCAUUUUAUGGUGUUUUUUUCUUUCCUUCACUUCUCUGUUUUACUUCUUCCGCUUUUUAUCUCUUAAUUUGAAAGAAACUCUUGGGAAUAUCUCUUCUCCUGCAGACAAAGACAUCAUGAGCUCCCCCAUCCAUACCCUAGAAC